AACGAACGCUGGCGGCAGGCUUAACACAUGCAAGUCGAACGGAUCCUUCGGGAUUAGUGGCGCACGGGUGAGUAACACGUGGGAACGUACCCCUUGGUAAGGAAUAAUAUCUGGAAACGGAUACUAAUACCUUAUAAUGACUUCGGUCCAAAGAUUUAUCGCCAAGGGAUCGGCCCGCGUUAGAUUAGGUAGUUGGUGGGGUAAUGGCCUACCAAGCCUACGAUCUAUAGCUGGUCUGAGAGGAUGAUCAGCCACACUGGGACUGAGACACGGCCCAGACUCCUACGGGAGGCAGCAGUGAGGAAUAUUGGACAAUGGAGGAAACUCUGAUCCAGCCAUGCCGCGUGAGUGAAGAAGGCCUUAGGGUUGUAAAGCUCUUUCAAUAGUGAAGAUAAUGACGGUAGCUAUAGAAGAAGCCCCGGCUAAAUUCGUGCCAGCCGCCGCUUAAAAC
rnacentral:rRNA from 1 species